rnacentral:rRNA from 1 species
AUACGUAGGUGGCGAGCGUUGUCCGGAUUUAUUGGGCGUAAAGGGUGCGUAGGCGGAUGUUUAAGUGAGAUGUGAAAUCCCCGGGCUUAACCUGGAGGCUGCAUUUCAAACUGGAUAUCUAGAGUGCAGGAGAGGAGAAUGGAAUUCCUAGUGUAGCGGUGAAAAGCGUAGAGAUUAGGAAGAACACCAGUGGCGAAGGCGAUUCUCUGGACUGUAACUGACGCUGAGGCACGAAAGCGUGGGUAGCAAACAGGAUUAGAUACCCUGGUAGUCCACGCCGUAAACGAUGAGUACUAGGUGUAGGAGGUAUCGACCCCUUCUGUGCCGCAGUUAAUACAAUAAGUACUCCACCUGGGAAGUACGACCGCAAGGUUGAA